GGGGAAUAUUGCGCAAUGGGGGGAACCCUGACGCAGCAACGCCGCGUGGAGGAAGAAGGUCUUCGGAUUGUAAACUCCUGUCUUCUGGGAAGAUAAUGACGGUACCAGAGGAGGAAGCCACGGCUAACUACGUGCCAGCAGCCGCGGUAAUACGUAGGUGGCGAGCGUUGUCCGGAAUUACUGGGCGUAAAGGGCGCGUAGGCGGCUUUUUAAGUUAGAUGUGAAAACCCGGGGCUUAACUUCGGACGUGCAUUUAAAACUGGAGAGCUUGAGUGCAGGAGAGGUAAGUGGAAUUCCUAGUGUAGCGGUGAAAUGCGUAGAUAUUAGGAGGAACACCAGUGGCGAAGGCGACUUACUGGACUGUAACUGACGCUGAGGCGCGAAAGCGUGGGGAGCAAAC
rnacentral:rRNA from 1 species